CGAGCUCGGAGCUGAGUGGAAGCGGCCAAGCUCCCCGGGCCGGGCCCGCCGUCAGCACGUCACGUCACUGCCCGAGAGAGACCCAGGAAAAUGCGGAAGGGAGCGCGCCGCCGCCGCUGCCCGCCGCCUCGGGACAACCGCCCGCCGCGGCCGGGGCCGCUGCAGGGCCGGGGGCGGCUGCCAGGCCGGCCGAGGCGGCGCGGAAUAAUCAGUGUUGGCCCAUGGAAGAGCAACUUAAAGUGUUUGAGGCAUCAAAAAAAAUUAUGUACCUGCAUAACUGCAUGGAGGAGUAGAUGCUUAGCAAGUACAGCUGUCCUGAGUAACACUGCGAAAUUUCUGAAGCCCUAUCUCCUGCAUUGCUAGCAGCCCUAGGUUAGAGAAAUGAGAUGCCAAGCAAUUUUUCCACCUGGACAAACCCGUCAACUACUGAUGAGUGAUCAUUUGGAGUUAAAUCAAGGUUACUUCAUUUUACAGUAAAAAUAUUCUGAGCCCAUUGAA